rnacentral:rRNA from 1 species
AUGGACGCCCGACGAAGCUCGCCUCGCCACCGGAUCGAGUGGUUCUGCGCCUCCUCAACAUCGGUUUCGCCCCGUCUCCGGCAAGAUCCGACGAACCGCGACGAAUCUGACCGCCUCCCGUUCCCCUGCUUUGGAUCUGGUGCUCCACACCUUCUUCCUUGCGCCUGCGGCCUUUUGUUCGUUCCCGUGGCCACAUCAAGUUCAGUCGCUACUUCACUCACCAAUUCUUCAGCCCUGCCCGUGCUCCAACUACCGGGAACCGGCUCCCCGUCUUCAAGACCUCCCGUAUCCGUCCGUCUGUCUCCAAAGACCUCGUCGGAGUCCCGUGACUCAUCCACACCAAGUUCCCGCUUCUGCCUGGCCCUGCUCCUCUGCACAAGAACCAGCGCCUCGUCCCGCUCGCACGCGCGAGGACCGCAUCACCUCUGCGUCGUCCUCAAUGCCCGCUGGAACCGAGGGCGUUGCCUCAGUCGUCGCCUUGCCAAGCUCCUCUCGCCGCCGAAGUCUGCCAGCGCCGGCGACCUCCUCCUCCCUGCGACCCCUUGA